rnacentral:sRNA from 1 species
UGAAAUGAGGAUCAGCUGGGUAGACCUAGCAUUUCAUUGAUCUCCAGAAAAGAUCUGGCUAAUUUGGCUAGCUAGGCAAUGUUCCUCAUGCAUUCUCUCUACCCCAGGUGUGCCCUUCCCAAAGCAGCAAAAAUCAAUUGAAGAGAAUGACUUUCCCAGAUGCAGGAACUUUGCUUUCAUUGGUUAAAGGCACAGCUGAGCUCUUUUGCUAGACCUUGCAGAUUUCCAGAUUCAUGGGUGCAGAACUACUUGAUUGAUCAUGCUUUAAUCAAUUUAUGAUGCUCUCAAGAAUCCUCA